rnacentral:lncRNA from 1 species
UGUGCGUUGCAUCGGGAGUGGCUGCAGGUGAGCGGGUUUGAGCGAGAAUUGCAGUUGCGUUUGUACCUCUCGCGUAUCAAGACCUCACGCCUCGACAUCCUGGCCUCCUCUGCCAACAAGCUCAACAAGAGUUUGACGCGUUUACAGCGGCAAGAGAAGACGCUCAGCGACCGACUUACCCAGACUGUGUUUUGCCGCACGACCGCCGCCAAGAAGUUUUCGUCUGCCCAGCAGCAGUGGCAGGAGCUGCGGCAGCGUUGUGAGCAGCACGCACAGCUGCAUUGUUCCAGUCCUGAAUUGCAGCACAUUCUCGAUAAUGCACCGCUGCAGGAAGCGCUACGAGUGCAGGAACAAGAGGGGUCAUCCCUACGCGUAUUACUGAAGGAGAGCCUCGGUGAAGUGAAAGAAGGUCACCGCCUGCAAUGUCUCCUGC